GGGCUCGUAGCUCAGCGGCAGAGCGGUCGGCUCAUAACCGAUUGGUCGCAGGUUCGAAUCCUGCCGAGCCCA
rnacentral:tRNA from 3 species